rnacentral:rRNA from 1 species
AUUGAACGCUGGCGGCAUGCUUUACACAUGCAAGUCGAACGGCAGCACAGCAGAGGUAACUCUGUGGGUGGCGAGUGGCGAACGGGUGAGUAAUACAUCGGAACGUACCCUGUUGUGGGGGAUAACUACGCGAAAGCGUAGCUAAUACCGCAUACGCCCUGAGGGGGAAAGCGGGGGGACCCUAAAUAGAGCGCACUGGGGAGUGCGUUGUAUUUAGGGCCUCGCGCAAUAGGAGCGGCCGAUGUCGGAUUAGCUAGUUGGUGAGGUAAAAGGCUUUACCAAGGCGACGAUCCGUAGCUGGUCUGAGAGGAUGAUCAGCCACACUGGGACUGAGACACGGCCCAGACUCCUACGGGAGCAGCAGUGGGAAUUUGGACAAUGGGGGCAGCCCUGAUCCAGCCAUGCCGCGUGAGUGAAGAAGG